rnacentral:lncRNA from 10 species
AGACCAAAUUAAUCAGAGCUCUUUUGACUGACAUCACGCACAGUACACACACAGACAGACAGAAGAAAACUCAGUCACUGUGUGGGGCCCUUUAAGAGGCAGGGCUAAGACAGCAGGCAUAUAUCAAACCAGAAAGAAUCUUAUUCCCUAGGGCAGGAUUGCUAAACAAAGCCCUGCGGGGGGAGUUACAAGCCAUGCCCUCAGGAUGUAAUACAAGAUGGAGGCUUGAUUUCACAACCAAAACUUUCCAGAGAAUAUAGUGAUAGAUGUUGGAGGUCCCUAGUCUAGCACAACAUCUUCUAAAAGAAAAUGAAACUUUUAAAAGUUAACUACCGACAGGGUAGAGAGAAAAGAAAAGAAACAGUUUAAAAAUACCUGAGGAAGAGCCUCUCAUUCCUAUGCAACUGAUUCGUCCACCAUGGAGAUUAGUUCAAUUAUUGUCCAAUGGAGUAGAACCCCUUGGCUGGGGUAGGGGAAGGAGAAGACCGCAAGCUGGCUCUGCGAAGACCCUUGAGCCACGCGUCCCAGCCCCAGCAUGAAGCAGUGAUGGAAGGAAAAUGUCUGGGAAGCCCCGGUGGAAUGCAACAGGUGAAGUCAAUUUAUUGAUUUUCCAAUAUUAAACUAACUUCUCUCAGGAUGUAGACCGAACUUAAUGGAGAAGUAGUGUUAAUGUUAUUUGUUGCUAUAAAUGAGUCACUCCAGGAGAUAGUAGUCAUACUUAAAGAAGAAAAGGAGCAUGUGAAAGUGUCUUAUCAAAUAGAAAAUACAAAUAAAGUAAUAGUUUAGAAACCAAAAAUGAAUACAUGCUAAGAAACAGUGUUUUGUGCCACACAUGACAAAGGUCACAGACUGUUAAAAAAAAUUGGUAAAAGUCACUGAGCAGACUGCAAUAGCCUUCAACAAUGUUUUUAAAAUAAAUAAAAUCAAAAGCAUACUCUGAAAGGGAGAAAACUCUGAUUUCAGUUACUACAUUAAAAUAUUCAAAUGCCUAGUUUCAACAACCAAAAAAUCAAAAGGCUUAUUAAAAAAACCAAAACAUCUAUCUCUGAAGAAGUCCAGACACUGGAUUUACUAGGCAAAUACUUUAAAAUAACUGUCUUAAAUAUGCUCAGAGAACUAAAAUAAAACUUGGACAAAUAACAAAAGGAAGCAAGAAAAAACAAAACGCGGAUAUCAAUAAAAAGACAGAAAUGAUAAGGUACCAGCCAUAAAUUAUUGAGCUCGAAAGUGCAAUAACUGAAAAGAAAAAUUUACUAGAGGACUUCAACAGCAGAUUUGAGCUGACAGAAGAAUCAGUAAACUUGAAGACAGAAUAAUUUAAGUCACCCAGCCUGAGGAGAAAGGGGCCAAGAGUUCUCACGUCUUCACUCUCCUGCCUGAGUAGAACCACUUUAUUACUGAGCUGGAGCUGAAUAGUAUGGACAAGGUGGCCUUCUUCUAGAGUUAUUCUUCUGAUCUUUGUGGAAGACUUAGGAAUGGAGUCUCAGCCACAGACUUCUUCAUUAGACAUUUUAGCGUGAUAUCGUCACUGUACAAAGUGAGAGCUGAGAAGAUGGUGAGAUGAUGGGAAUCCAUGGUUUUUCAGCCUGUUAACUCGUGACCUACCGGCCUUAUUCAGGGAAGAGUCUUUUCCCUAGGAGUGGGAGGUGGGUAGAUUAUAGGAGUUCUCGGUCCUUCCUGGCAAUGCCCGCUAAUAUUAAAUAUUUCACAACAUAAAGCUAGAAGGAUCAGUUUGAGGGCGAAAGUCAUUUUUGGUUUAAAUGCCACAUAUUCUAACCACACUAAAAGUUUAUAGAUUUUAUUAAAUUAAUGAUACUUUGAUUUGCUGCAUACUUUUAGGUCAAUUUCUUUAGAUGGCUGUUUUUAAUAAUUUUCACCAGUUUAGUGUCUGUUUCACUGUAGAGAUGGUUCACGGAAAGUUACUCGAUGCCAUUCCCAGAGUCUCACUCCCUCCAAAUGUAUUUUGUAUGCUUACAUGGUACAUAUUUUCAUAUUUUACUUUCAAAAUACCUGUAUCUUUAUACUUCAAGCAUGUUUUUGUACACAUUGAUUUGCAUAUAUCAUCUUUUUCAUUGAUUUUUAUCAAUAGCUAUUAUAUAUUUUAUUUUACUUUUCUGGAGUUUGCAAGAAGCUUUGCUAAUUAAUUACAAUUUUCAUUCAAAUAAUAUUUUAACACUUCAAAUAUGGUGUAAGAAUAUUACAAAACCCCAUUACUUUCAUAUCUCCCUGGUUUUUAGGCAAUUAUUAUCAUAACCUUCACUCCUGCAUUAGCUAUAAACCUCAUACUACAUUCUAAUAAUUUUAACAGUCAUUUUACUUGUGGAUUAAAUUAUAAAUUUAAAAAUGUACUUUUACAUUUAACCAUAUAUUUAUAAUUUCAGUGCUCUUCAAUUAAUUAUUUAUGUAUGUAUUUUCAUCUAGUAUCUUUUUUUCAUAUUGAAGACUUUUCUUCAAUGUUUUUCUUAGUGCAGGUCUCCUAGCAAUAAAAAAAUUCUUAUCUACUUUUUCUUGUAUUUUUGUCUAAAUUGUUUUCAUCUUGACUUAUAUUUUAAUAAAUUUUUUGCUGUAUAUACAAUUAGAAGUUGAGUGUUAAGUUUUUACUUUCAGAAAUUUAAAAAUGUCAUUCUAGUGUAAUUUGUUUUUCAUGAUUUUUUUUCUUGUAUGUAAUACGCUGCCACACAAACACUUACUGAGGUUGUUUUUUUUUUAAUUCUCCAAUUUUCAGAAAUUUAAUUAACAUGAUAUAGUUACUUCUUUAUUUUAUUUUUUCCUUUCCCCUUUCUUCCUUCCUUCUUUUGUUAAAUUUAUUCUUACUUAAAUCUUAUUUGAGAUGCUUAUGAGUUCUCAAUCUGAAACAGUUGAAAAGGUCAAUAAGUCUAUGCAUUUUUUUCCACUAUUUUUUAGUCUGUGCUUCAGUUUGAAUAUUUAUUAUCUUGUUUUAUGUAUCAUUUGUUUUAAUCCUAUUCAAUUAACUUUUCAUAUCAGAUAUUUUGCCUCUAGAAGUUCCAACUGGUUUCUUUAUAUUCCAAUUUCUCUCCUCAUUAUGUUUCUCUUUUACUUUUUAUCCUUGAACAUAUU